AGACCCCGAUCACCCGCAGCUACGAGAGUUGCCGCCGCCAGUGUGUGCCGGGCGACGUCGCCCACGCCCCUGCCAGCCAUCCUCACAGCAGCAGCAGCCCUGGUAGAAAUUGAUCCUCCAGAAUUCUCUGAAUUGCUUAAGUCUCUGGCCUCAAAUGCCCCAAGAUCCUCCUUGGGAGACCUCUCUGACAGGGAGCUUGGGGGAGAGCAGAGGGGCAUUGACUUAACUCUGCUGGAGGGUAAGGACUAGACUCCCAUCCCCUCUCCCUACUCAGAACCUUCAUUAGAGAAAACCCCAAAGUGUGACCUCAUGGUCACAUGCAAAUCUAAACACAGACCAUUGUGCUUAAACCAACACACCGCACACACUCCUACCCUGCAGGAUCUUCUGAGGAAGAAACUUCUCCUUCUGCAUCCAGGCUGUGCUGGGCCCUGGACUCAGAGGAGAGGUGGUCCCAUGCCAUUGGAUUGCAUCUAUGACUUCGGGAGGUAGGGCGAAGACUGGUCCCCCAGACACCACAGAGCUUCCCAUCUUCUUUUGCCAGGUAAAGGUUGGGGGCUGCUCCCAGGAGCCCACAUCAAAUCUGUUUGCUCUGAGGCCUAGAACCACAAGGCCCCUAGUGCUUCAAAAGCCAUGGGGGUUCUCAUAGGACCCAGGAACUCUAAGGUGGCUUCUGAAGCUCAGACCCCAGGAAGGGAGAGCUUGGAGUGGGUCAGGAGACCAGGGAACCAUCUCUCAUUCCACCUCUUCUUCAUUGCAGGCCCUUAGACAAAAGCCACCCUCUGAUACCUCCUUGGCCUCAAGAAUUGUUUGUUGGGUGGAUAUAUAAAAUUUGCUUAUCUGAAGAUAUUUGUCACAUAUGAUAUGAGAAUCAUAGUGAUAAUAUUCACAUCACAGGGUGGUGUGGAAGGGCCUCUGAUGGCCAGCAUUCUCAUGACUUAGCUCAUGCAGAAUAUUAGAAUUCUUUUUAAUUCUUGUCAAUUCCAUAGACACAAAGUUGAAUUUCAUUAUAGUUUUAAUUUGCAUUUACUUGAUAGUGAAACUGAAUGUUCUUAUGUUUACUUUAUUCUUCUAGAUUUUAUCAGAAUUUGCUAAGGUGGUCUCAGAACCACAUUUCUUGUGGAGGGGUUUCAGCCCUGCUUAUAUAAAUUUGAUAUAAUCCACAGACCAUACAAUUCACCCAUUUAAAGUGUACAAUUUAAUAGUUUUUAGUACAUUCACAGAUAUGUGAAACUGUCACAAUCAAUUUUAGAAUAUUUUUAUCACCUCAGAAAGGAACUCUCUACACCUAGUCUAUCAAUGCUCUACCCACCCUACCAUGUCGCCCACUCCUAAGCAAUCACCAACAUGUUUGUUUUUUGUUUAAGAGACUGGGCCUCACUGUUACCUCGGCUAGAGCACAGUGGCUAUUCACAAGCAUGAUCAUAGCACAUUGCAGCCUAGAACUUCUGGCCUCAAAUGAUCCUCCCGGCUCAGCCUCCAGAGUACCUCAGACUACAGGCUCACACCACCACACCUGGCUUAGAGAACACAUUUUGUUUACUCCUGUCCUUUUAAAUUCAUUGAGGUUUGUCUAUUGCCUAGCAUAUGGCCUAUCCUGGAGAAUGUUUCAUGUGAAUGUAUAUAUUCUGCUGCUGUUAGGUCAAGUGUUCUAUGGAUGUCUGUUAGGUCUAGUUGAUUUAUAUUGUUUUCAAAUCUUAGAUUUCCUUGUUGAUCUUCUGUUUAUUCUAUUCAUUAUUGAAAGUGGGGACCAGGCACGUGGCUCACACCUGUAAUCCCAGCACUUUGGGAGGCCGAAGUGGGCAAAUCACCUGAGGUCAGGAGUUCGAGACCAGCCUGGCCACUAUGGUUAAACCCUGUCUCUAAUAAAGAUACAAAAAUUAGCCAGGCAUAGUGGCACGUGCCUGUAGCCCCAGCUACUCGGGAGGUUGAAGCCCGAGAACUGUUUGAACCUGGGAGGCGGAGGUUGCAGUGAGUUGAGAUCAUGCCACUACACUCCAGCUUGGGUGACAGAGUAAGAUUUCAUCUCCCAAAAAAAAAAAAAAAAAAAAAAAAAAAAUCACUGACAGGAAAGAUAUCCACCUGAACAGGUUUUUAAUGCCGAUGAACAUGCCCUAUUCUGAAAGAAGAUGCCACAAAAGACACUUAUUAGUAAGGAAGAAAAUCGAGCACCAGGAUUUAAGGCAGAAAGGGAUAGGCUGACUAUUGUUCUGUGCAAAUUUGGUCAGGUUUAUUAUCAGAACUUCCCUUAUCUGUAAAGCUGAUAACCCCCAAGCCUUGAAGAGAAAAGAUAAACACAAGCUGCCACUCUUGGUACAACAAGAAGGCCUGGACAAGAAGAACCCUUCCUCUGGAUUGGUUGAAUGCUUUGUCCUUGAAGUCAGGAAGUAUUAUAUCUUGCCAGUAAGGAGCUGCCUUUUAUUUAUUGAGACGGAGUCUUGCUCUGUUGCCCAGGCUGGAGUGCAGUGGUGCGAUCUUGAUCUUGGCUCACUGUAACCUCCACCUCCCAGGUUCAAGCAAUUAUCCUGCCUCAGCCUCCCGAGUAGCUGGGAUUACAGGUGUGUGCCGCCACGCUUCGCUAAUUUUUAUAUUUUUAGUAGAGAUGGGGUUUCAUGAUGUUGGCCAAGCUGGUCUCGAACUCCCAACCUCAAGUGAUCCACCUGCCUCAACCUCCCAAAGUGUUGGGAUUACAGGCGUGAGCCACCAUGCCCGGCCAGCAGGAGCUUUUCAAGUUCUUUUGAUAUUGGACAAUGUUCUUGGCCACCCGGAACCCCGAGUUCAACACUGAAGGUGCAAGUGGUCUACUUGCCUCUGAAUAGGGACGAUGUCUGUAAUUCAUCCUCUAGAUCACGGGGUCAUAAGAAUCUUUAAUGCUUAUUACACCCAGUACUCUAUGGAAGGGAUCGUCAACACUAUGGGAGAGGACCUCAACCAAGAGAACAUCAUGAACGUCUGGAAGGAUUACACCAUUGAAGAUGUUGUAGAAAAACAUGUGAAGGCCAUCAAACCUGAAACAAUAAAUUCAUGCUGGAGAAAAAUUGUGUGCAGAUGUUGUGCAUGACUUCACGAGAUUUAUGACAGAGACUGUCAAGGAAAUCAAGAAAGAGAUUGUGGAUAUGCAAAAGAGAUGUGUGUGGGGUGAAGGGUUCAAGAUAUGAAUCUUGGAGAAAUCCAAGGGCUACUAGAUGUCACACUAGAGGAACGAAUAGAUGACUUGGUGGAGAUGAGUGCCUUCGAACCAGUGCAAGACGAUGAAGAUGAUGUAGAAGACGCAGUGCCGGAGAACAACUGACAUUAGACAAUCUGGCGGAAGUGUUCCUAGUAUUCAAGACUGCUUUUACAACGUGGACCCUUCUAUGACAUGGGCACUGAAACUAAAGCGAGUAUGCCUGCCUCCCUUCUACCUCCACCUCUUCCUCCUCUGCCACUCCUCAGACAGUAAAACCAACCUCUCCUCCCUGUCCUCAACAUACCCAACGUGAAGACAAUGAGGAAGACUUUUACGAUGACCCACUUCCACUUAAUGAAUAGCACUUCACCAAAGAAGAUACAUGGAUGACAAUUAAGCACUUGGGAAGAUGCUCAACAUCAUUAGUCAUGAGGAAAAUGCAAAUUAAACCAGAGAUACCACUACACACCCCACCCGUGGAAGUGGUUUAAAUUUAAAAAAUAAAACGAACAAUUCUACAUGUUGGAGAGGAUAUGGAGUAACUGAAACUCUUAUACAUUGAUGGUGGGAAUAUAAACUGGUAACUACUCUGUAAAAACAGUUUUUAUAAACAUCCACCUACCAUAAGACCUAGCAAUACCCACUUCUAGGUGUUUAGAGAAGUGAAAACUCUUGCUCAGACAAAAAUCUGUACAAAAAUGUUUACAGCAGCUCUGUUAGCAAUCACUAAAAACUGGACAUGACAGGUGGAUGGGUAAAUAAAUCAUGGUACAGCCAUACAGGAACAGAGAGGAAUGCAACAUGAGUGAAUCUCAAGGCAUCAUGCUGAGCACAAGAAGCCAGUUCAAAGGGUAUGUGCUGAAUGUUUCAUUUAAAUGUCGGAAAUGGCAAAAGUAUUGUUGGAGGACAGGUCAGUGUUUGUAAAGGAUUACAAGUAGAGGAAGGUGUGACCACAAAGAGCAGCAUGAGGAAAUUUUGGAGUGAUGAAACUAUUGUGUAUCUUGAUUGUGGUAGUGAUUAUGCAAAUCUAUGUACAUGUUUAAAAAGUCAUAGAUGCACUCAGUAUGCAAUGAGGAUAAAAUAAAAAAUAAUAAUUUAAAAUCAUAGAUCUGGCCAGGUGUGGUGGAUCACACCUGUAAAAAAAAUACAAGUAGCAGCAGGACAUGGUGGCUUGCACCUGGAAUCUCAGCUACUUGGGAGGCUGAGACCUGGGCAACAGAGACCCUCUUAUGGUGGCUCACGCCUGUAAUCUCAGCACUUUGGAGGAUGAGGUUGUGGGAUUGCUUAAGACCAGGAUUUCGAGACCAGCCUGGGCAACAUAGGAAACCUGGUCUCUAAAAACAAAACAAGCAGUGGCUCAAGCCCGUAAUCCUAGCACUUUGGAAGGCGGAGGUGGUCGGAUGGCUUUGAGGCCAGGAGUUCUAGACCAGCCUGGGUAACAUGGUGAAACCCUGUCUCUACUAAAAAUACAAAAAUUAGCCAGGCAUGGUGGCCCCAACUGUAGCCCCAGCUACUCUGGAGGCUGAGGUGGGAUCACUUGAGCCAAGGAGGUGGAGAUUGCAGUAAGCUGAGAUCGCACUUCUGCAUUCCAGCCUGGGUGAUAGA
rnacentral:lncRNA from 1 species